rnacentral:tRNA from 1 species
UCCCUGGAGGACUAGUGGAUAGGCUACAGCACUCUCACCUCUGCAGCCCAGGUUUGAUUCCCGGCCAGGGAA